AAUGAACGCUGGCGGCAUGCCUUACACAUGCAAGUCGAACGGCAGCAUGACCUAGCUUGCUAGGUUGAUGGCGAGUGGCGAACGGGUGAGUAAUGCAUCGGAACGUGCCUUUUAGUGGGGGAUAACGUAGCGAAAGUUACGCUAAUACCGCAUAUUCUCUGAGGAGGAAAGCAGGGGACCUUCGGGCCUUGCGCUAGAAGAGCGGCCGAUGUCGGAUUAGCUAGUUGGUGAGGUAAAGGCUCACCAAGGCAACGAUCCGUAGCGGGUCUGAGAGGAUGAUCGGCCACACUGGGACUGAGACACGGCCCAGACUCCUACGGGAGGCAGCAGUGGGGAAUUUUGGACAAUGGGCGCAAGCCUGAUCCAGCCAUGCCGCGUGAGUGAAGAAGGCCUUCGGGUUGUAAAGCUCUUUCGGCUGGGAAGAAAUCGCACCCUCUAAUACAGGGUGUGGAUGACGGUACCAGCAUAAGAAGCACCGGCUAACUACGUG
rnacentral:rRNA from 1 species